CAAAAGGCUGAACCCUAGGGUGUUAAACUCCAUGGAUGAAGUGUAGAAAGAAUGAGGUUGCGGAGAUUUGCCGGGAUUUCUCAGGGUGGUUGACCGUCUCUGCAUGCCGAUGAUUUCAUCUUCCAUCAUCAAUCAACAACCCUAAUUGUCGGUUAACGUUUCUGAUGAAUCAUUGCCCAGAAUGGUGCGGGCUAUUGCCCGCCCUUCUGUGUAUUCAAUGAAUCAUCAUAAUCAUCAAUUCACCAUUCAUCAACUCCAACGCUAUGAACCUUUUAUGGCUUAUCUUAUGGAUAGCCAUUGUUGAUCUGCUUAAACCUCGGUUUUGCAGUGAAGCUAUACGCGCUUGAAACUACAGAUCUUCAGUUGCCUGUUCAUGUUUGUGUUGUUGUUGUUUCUGUUAUUACUACGGAGUAUUAUUAUUAUUAUUAUUGGUUAUGUAGGCUGUGAUGAUGAUGAUUUUUCUACAGUUCAUCAGGUAUGGAGGGACCCGACCCGUAUCUUGGCGGGGCGACCUCCAGGUCUGCAGCCAUGGCGGUAUGGCUUCUCCAUUACCAAAUCUGAGCCUAAUUUCUGAUGGCAAGUGAUUUGCCUAAAGAGUUAAUUCCAUUUUGGUCCCUUGACUGUUAGAUUGUAGCCACAAUCUGCUCAUAUCGUAAAGCUUAUUAAUCAGAAUUCGUUUCUGAUCCCUGUUACCACACAAGAAUGAGGGUGUAGAGAGAUUUGGGUGUUUCUAUGGCGGUUGCCCCUCUCUAUGCUUCAGUGAUUCCUUUAGGUUUUGUCCACAUGCAACAGCCAAAUAUUUCAUUCCAACAACAAACAACAUAUAUAUAUAUAUAUCAUUCAUCUUUCUGUUUCUUAAUACUGGGUAAAUAAUUUGCUGCAUUUUAGCUGCAAUGAGAACAUAUAAAACAAAACAAAAACAUUGUUGGUUCCGGUUGAUAUGUAGGCAGUGAUGACAAAUAUCUUGAUCUGAUUGGGUAAGGAAGAAGUGAGCCGUAUCUUGGCGGGGCAACUGGAAUUUUGCAGCCAUGGCGCUGUUGCUAUCCUUGCUUGAUCAUAUUGCUUGUCUGAGCCUGCUACCUAUCUAUCUAUGUAUCUAUAUCUGUCUGUCUGUCCAUCUAUCCACUGUUCAUAUUAUUCUUUGGAAGUCCAGUGAUUUUCCAUUUACUGUUGAAAUGAUGAGUAGGGGCAUUUAUGUUGUUAACAGCCACAUUAUUUUUGCCACAAUUGUGCAGGCUAUGAUGAUUUGUAUCUUCACCCUCUUGUAUAUGUUAGUCUUGGAAGCAACUGACCCAUACCUUUGGCAAGGCAUACUUAUAUAGCCUAUGAAAGGGACUGAUUUUCUCUUUCCUCUGUAUAGCUAUUGAGAUUGCAGCCAAUGUUGUAUCUGUGUGCUUGACUGUUCUUAUUUUAUUAUACAUCUGAGCUUGUUCUCACUCACUGUGCACAUAGUACAUUCUUGAAGACCAAGUUUAAGCUUGGCCAAGUGCUCUUUAACAUGUCGCACCCCUACAAGAGUCGAACCUUUGACGUUGCAUAGUUGUCAACUUACCAACUAUCCCAAAUUGUUUGGUUAACAAUGACGGUAGGGGUGCAAGAGAGAUGUCCAUGAGGUUUGCCGGCAUUUUGGAUUUCUCUGGGUAUAACCUGUGGCAUAACUUUCUAUGUAAAUUUAUUUUCUUUAAGUGUCACUCUUGAAACCUCAGGUUGGACUAAUGCUGUCGUUUGCUUAUCUUUUUGUGGAUUACCUUAUCUGGAGAAAGUGACGAGGCUGCUGAAGGGGGAGAUGUUCUUCUGCUGCCCAACUUGAACAAGAAUGAUUCCCUGCUUUCUUCUCAGAGGAGUAGCACUAGCAAGCUGUGAGACACCUGUUCAUAUUACUUGCCUCGGUGACCACUUAAAUUUUGUGAAAGACGUUAUUGCGACCAGAUUUUGCUACAGAACUGAACCAAGAUGGCUUCAGUCUCUUGCAUAUUGCCUUGAUGAUUGGGGUGUUGGAUAUGGAGAAGGAAAUGCUGAAGGUAGAUUGAAAUCUCCUCAGGGCAGAGAGAA